UACAGAGGGUGCAAGCGUUUGUUCGGAAUUAUUGGGCGUAAAGCGCGUGUAGGCGGCUUUGCAAGUCGGGUGUGAAAGCCCUCGGCUCAACCGAGGAAGUGCGCCCGAAACUGCAGAGCUUGAGUACCGGAGAGGAUGGCGGAAUUCCCCAAGUAGAGGUGAAAUUCGUAGAUAUGGGGAGGAACACCGGUGGCGAAGGCGGCCAUCUGGACGGAUACUGACGCGUGAGACGCGAAAGCGUGGGUAGCAAACAGG
rnacentral:rRNA from 1 species